UUUUAUGUUUGAACGCAUCUUCUUUGCAGUUCAUUUUCUUCACGAUCGAGAUCGAAUUUCUUUCUCGUUUUCUUCUGAAUCAAGUUUAUCUAUCCAAAUCAAUUUCUUUCUCGUUCUCUUCUGAAUCAAGUUUAUCUAUCCAAAUCAUUAACCUCAAUCGGUUCAUAUUCUUAUUCUCGAUCAAGGUUUUGCGAUUUCAGUGCGAUUUGAAUCAUUCUCGAAAUUUUGAUUCGCUUCUCGAUUUCGAUCUCAAUUUUGCUUAUGUUUGCUUCUGGCUUUGCUGGCUGAAACUCUCCUUCAAUAUUUGAGAGAAUCAAGACAAGAAGCAUCGUCUUCAAGUUCUUAAAGUGGAGUUAUUACUACUACUACUACUACUACUUAGGGAGGUUCAUAUGCACCAAUAGCAGCUUCAUGGCCGAAAAAGAAGAUCCAAAAAGAAUUUAAUUUUUUGAGGUUUAAGCAAUCAAGUUUAGUAUUUCGUUGUGAACGCAUUGAGGGAGGGCCUACAUGCCAAGAAUGUAAGAGAAAAUAUAUUGUGAAAGUGCCUUCUGGACAAUCUUUUGAAUCUGAACCUCCAGGUUUUGAUUCAAAAAGAAUUUUGACCUCUAUUAAAAAUUUAUUGGAUGCUUUCUAUAGGUUUUCCAGGCCUCACACGGUUAUUGGCACCGCAUUGAGCAUAGUUUUUGUGUCUAUCCUAGCAGUGCAGACUAAAAGAUAAGGAAGAUCUGUUUAAAUUACUUGGUGAGAAACAUCAGCUCUAUGAAUUUCUGGAUACAUUCUACGUGCAAUGCUCAUAUAUGCUUUUCAACAAGGAGCAUGUCAAAGCUAUUCUUUCAGAAAUUGUUAAACAUAAAGCUGCAGAGAAUGAACAACGGAUACAGUCUUACAUGAAUAUGUUGGUGGUAAGGACAUGAUGUUUCAGGUGCAGUAAAUUAUUGCAUUGGGUUAUUGGAAGCACUUGUAUCUUCUGUUCCCAAGGUUGUAGAGAGUCCUGUUGAUUCUGCAUUGAUCCCGGAUAGGGCACCAUUGUCAGCAUAUCAAUACUUCAAAAACGUGAGAAAUUUUCUGGUUGCUGUCCAGUUAUAUAAGAGAAUGAUAUGGCUGCAAAAUUAGUAUGUUAAUUGGUGUUAUCUUGUGAUGUUAGAUGACAAACAGGGAGCACUUGAAUUCCUCAAGUUAAUAUUAGCAUGAAUUUUAUUAUUUUGUUGUAAAUACUUGUAUGCAGUCGAACUGAUCUUUACUAUU